rnacentral:rRNA from 1 species
GACGAACGCUGGCGGCGUGCCUAAUACAUGCAAGUCGAACGCAGUGGGGAAGGGUGAGUAACCCGUGGGUAACCUCCCCAUCAGAGGGGAUAACACUUUGAAACAGGUGCUAAACCGAUACUGAUGUAUGAACCCGCGGUGCAUUAGCUAGUUGGUGAGGUAACGGCUCACCACGGCCACGAUGCAUAGCCGACCGGAGAGGGUGAUAGGCGACAGUGGGACGGAGACAGCGCCCAGAGGACUACGGGAGGGAGCAGUAGGGAAUGUGCGGCAAUGGACGAAAGUAUGGCCGAGCAGAGCCGCGUGAGAUAAGAAGGUGUUCGGAGCGUAAAAAUCUGUUGUGAGAGAAGCGGUAUCUAACCAGAAAGCCACGGCUAACUACGUGCCAGCAGCCGCGGUAAUAC